CUAUUGUCUAGAGGUUUGUAUGGACCUAUAGCUUUAAGGGAGUCAGUCCUGGCCCAAUCCUGAAUAGGAUAUUCAAUGUCCAGGAGGCAUUCAUGCUGCCUUUAGUCCAGUCAAAAUAUUGAUCCGGCAUUUUUUCUUCUGUUUGAAGCUGUGGACUCCAGGUCACUUAUGUUCCAUUUUUCCAUGGACUCUAGGUCACAUGUGUCCUGAUUUUAAAAUAACCUUUUUGCAAGUUUCUCAGCAAAAGCCUGCAGCUGCUGUUUGUGCUCUGCUGCUCAGGAAGUCAACAAGGGCUUAUUUCCCUAUCUGCUUAACUUUAUCUCUUCCUCCUGACCUCAAUAUCAUAGGUGCAUAGCAACAGGAUUUAUCACUAUCAAUGAUGACCUUUAUCAAUUAACAGAAUUUAUAAGGUUUUUGUUUUGUUUUGUUUUAUGCUGGUGAUUGAACCAAGAGGCACUUUACCACUGAGUUACCUCCCCAGCCCUUUUGAUUUUUUAUUUUGAGACAGGGUCUUAUUAAGUUGCUUAGGACCUCCCUAAGUUGCUGAGGAUGGCUUUGAACUUGGGAUCCUCCUGCCUCAGUCUCCCGAGUUGCUGGAAUUACAGGCAUGCAACAUCAUGCUCUGCUGUAAAAUUUGCUGUUCCCCACCUUUCAUUACUUUAUAUUUUUGGAAAUCUGUAUGAACAGCCAACACUUAAAGAAUGGGGGAGUUAGCCAGGCACAGUGGCACACACACC
rnacentral:lncRNA from 1 species